rnacentral:rRNA from 1 species
CCUACGGGUGGCUGCAGUGGGGAAUAUUGCACAAUGGGGGAAACCCUGAUGCAGCGAAGCCGCGUGCGUGAAGAAGUAAUUCGUUAUGUAAAGCUCUAUCAGCAGGGAAGUAACUGACGGUACCUGAGUAAGAAGCCCCGGCUAACUACGUGCCAGCAACCGCGGUAAUACGUAGGGGGCAAGCGUUAUCCGGAUUUACUGGGUGUAAAGGGAGCGUAGACGGCAGUGCAAGUCUGUAGUGAAAGGCGGGGGCUCAACCCCCGGACUGCUCUGGAAACUGUACGGCUGGAGUGCAGGAGAGGUAAGUGGAAUUCCUAGUGUAGCGGUGAAAUGCGUAGAUAUGAGGAGGAACACCAGUGGCGAAGGCGGCCUACUGGACGGUGACUGACGCUGAGGCUCGAAAGCGUGGGGAGCAAACAGGAUUAGAUACCCGUGUAGUC